rfam:Hordeum vulgare subsp. vulgare, WGS project CAJW01000000 data, contig: morex_contig_276545
GAUAUAUUUCCUCCGUUCAAAAAUUCUUGUCUUAGGUUUGUUUAGAACUGAAUGUAUCGAAAUACUAAAACAUGUCUAGAUACAUUUAUAUCUAGACAAAUUAAAACAAAAUUCUUGGAACGGAGGAAGUAAUUC